AUGGAAGUGAUCAUUAUUUCUCCAAAUGAUGGAGCCUGAAAUAAGUUAGCAAAUUGUGUCUUUGUGUUGCAAAGAGGCACCGAACUAGCUAUAUCUGAUCCAU